AGAAUCAACGCUGGCGGCGUGCCUAACACAUGCAAGUCGAACGAGAAAGUGGAGCAAUCCAUGAGUACAGUGGCGACCGGGUGAGUAACACGUGACUACCUACCCUUGAGUGGGGGAUAACCUCGGGAAACCGAGGCUAAUACCGCAUAAUAUCGAGAGAUCAAAGGAGCAAUUCGCUUUUGGAGGGGGUCGCGGCUGAUUAGCUAGUUGGCGGGGUAAUGGCCCACCAAGGCGAAGAUCGGUAUCCGGCCUGAGAGGGCGCACGGACACACUGGAACUGAAACACGGUCCAGACUCCUACGGGAGGCAGCAGUGGGGAAUUUGCGCAAUGGGGGAAACCCUGACGCAGCAACGCCGCGUGGAGGAUGAAGCCCCUUGGGGUGUAAACUCCUUUACGACCGGGAAAAUAAUGAUGGUACCGGUGGAAGAAGCACCGGCUAACUCUGCGCCAGCAGCCGC
rnacentral:rRNA from 1 species